ACUCCUACGGGAGGCAGCAGUGGGGAAUUUUGGACAAUGGGCGAAAGCCUGAUCCAGCCAUGCCGCGUGCAGGAUGAAGGCCUUCGGGUUGUAAACUGCUUUUGUACGGAACGAAACGGCCUUUUCUAAUAAAGAGGGCUAAUGACGGUACCGUAAGAAUAAGCACCGGCUAACUACGUGCCAGCAGCCGCGGUAAUACGUAGGGUGCAAGCGUUAAUCGGAAUUACUGGGCGUAAAGCGUGCGCAGGCGGUUAUGUAAGACAGUUGUGAAAUCCCCGGGCUCAACCUGGGAACUGCAUCUGUGACUGCAUAGCUAGAGUACGGUAGAGGGGGAUGGAAUUCCGCGUGUAGCAGUGAAAUGCGUAGAUAUGCGGAGGAACACCGAUGGCGAAGGCAAUCCCCUGGACCUGUACUGACGCUCAUGCACGAAAGCGUGGGGAGCAAACAGGAUUAGAUACCCGGGUAGUCCCAUGAU
rnacentral:rRNA from 1 species